rnacentral:rRNA from 1 species
AGAACGAACGCUGGCGGCAUGCCUAAUACAUGCAAGUCGAACGAGACCUUCGGGUCUAGUGGCGCACGGGUGCGUAACGCGUGGGAAUCUACCCUUGGGUUCGGAAUAACAGUUGGAAACGACUGCUAAUACCGGAUGAUGACGAAAGUCCAAAGAUUUAUCGCCCAGGGAUGAGCCCGCGUAGGAUUAGCUAGUUGGUGAGGUAAAGGCUCACCAAGGCUACGG